UACGUAGGGGGCAAGCGUUGUCCGGAAUUAUUGGGCGUAAAGCGCGCGCAGGCGGCUUUGUAAGUUUGGUGUUUAAUCUCAGAGCUCAACUCUGAUUCGCAUCGAAAACUGCAAGGCUUGAGUGCAGAAGAGGAAAGUGGAAUUCCACGUGUAGCGGUGAAAUGCGUAGAGAUGUGGAGGAACACCAGUGGCGAAGGCGGUUCUCUGGGCAUGAUCUGACGCUGAGGAGCGAAAGUGUGGGGAGCGAACAGG
rnacentral:rRNA from 1 species